rnacentral:rRNA from 1 species
GACGAACGCUGGCGGCGUGCUUAACACAUGCAAGUCGAACGAAGAGCGAUGGAAGCUUGCUUCUAUCAAUCUUAGUGGCGAACGGGUGAGUAACGCGUAAUCAACCUGCCCUUCAGAGGGGGACAACAGUUGGAAACGACUGCUAAUACCGCAUACGAUCUAAUCUCGGCAUCGAGGAUAGAUGAAAGGUGGCCUCUACAUGUAAGCUAUCACUGAAGGAGGGGAUUGCGUCUGAUUAGCUAGUUGGAGGGGUAACGGCCCACCAAGGCGAUGAUCAGUAGCCGGUCGGAGAUGAUGAACGGCCACAUUGGGACUGAGACACGGCACAGACGCCUACGGGAGGCAGCAGUGGGGAAUCGUCCGCAAUGGACGAAAGUCUGACGGAGCAACGCCGCGUGAGUGAUGACGGCCUUCGGGUUGUAAAGCUCUGUUAAUCGGGACGAAAGGCCUUCUUGCGAAUAGUGAGAAGGAUUGACGGUACCGGAAUAGAAAGCCACGGCUAACUACGUG